GACAACUCGCGGGGAUUGUUUUCCACACCGUGGAAGCUUUGUUCUUUUCGUUUUUUGCAAUAAAUCUUGUUGCUGCUCGCUUUUUGGGUCCACAUUGCUUUUAUGAGCUGUACCACUCACCGUGAAGAUCUGCAGCUUCACUUCAGAGCCUAGCGAGACCACAAGCUCACUGAGAGGAACAAACAACUCCAGACGCGCUGUCUUAAGAGCUAUAACACUCACCGCGAAGGUGUGCAGUUUCACUCCUGAGCUAGUGAGACUACGAAGCCACUGGAACGAAGAAACUCCAACCACGUUUGAACAUCAGAAGGGGCAGACUCCAGACGCUUCAUCUUAAGAGCUGUAACACUCACUGUGAAGGUCUGCAGCUUCACUCCUGAGCCAGCGAGACCACGAACCGAUCUGAACAUCAGAAGGGACAGACUCCAGAUGCCCCACCUUAAGAGCUGUAAUACUCACUGCAAGGGUCUGCAGCUUCAUUCUUGAAGUCAGACCAAGAACCCAGCAAUUCCCAACACACAGGGACCAGCUUCUUUCCUAACUCACUUAGGCUCUUCGUGCUGCUCUGGCAACUAACACCCUUGGCUGCAGGGGCUUGGACACUACCCUUAGUCACUGACAAUUGUGUGAAGGCUGCUGUCGUUAACUUCACUUGAUCACCUUAGGCUCCUGUGAAGUGGUGAGCAAUUCAAACAAAUUCCUGUCGUCAAAUCAUGAUAUACAUCUUUCCACACCAAUAGACCUUGUUUUCCGAUGUAGCAUUAUUUUUCAUAGUUGGCGAAUAUACAGUUAUGGAUUCAUAACAGCAAGAUGGAGAAAUUGCACUGCAGAGAAAUCUUUAAAAGCAAUUACCUAAUACUGCAGAUUGCUGAACUGUACCCACACCCAAGACUGAGCAUUGGAUCAAUCCAGAAUAUACAUCAGGUGUUCUGCAAUGUCUGCCUAAAACCAUGACUCUGCCUCCUCCAGCUGUUGCUACAUCUCACUAUGGGUUUCCUGUGACAUUUUGAGCAAGUAUGCCUCUGUGACUGGGGUUCUUACACUCCAGAAUGGAUGAGAAGCACCCCUCCUGUGGAGCCGGCCGUGGAAACGCCCUGACAUGGAGUCAGAAGCCCGAGCCCGUGUUUCAGACUUGGCGUUCAUUGACCAGAAGAGCUGCUUCACCACUUAACCAUGCAGCUUCAAGGGCUCCAUCUGCAAAACGCAGGCUUGAACCACAGGACUGGUUAUGCUCCUUCUUGUUCUGUGUCCUCUAAAUCCACCCCGUGGGAUGGUUCUCAUCCUCAUUUCUAGGAAAACAAGGCCCAGGUGGAAUCUCUUUUCUCAUCUGCAGGACUGAUGCCUUUCUUGGCCUAAAUUUCAACAACAUGUGACUAUAAAACUUACCUGUGUGUGAACCCUACAGAUAUUUGCGGGGGUGUUGUGUGGGGAGAUGACCCCAUGGUGGGCCCCUAGCGCCGGCCUCUUGCUAUCAUGCUGAGCACGCCCACCUUGCCGCAGCCUAGGAUCUCCCUUUCCCACCGGCACUCUCUUGCCUGGAGUGUGGAUCCACUGUGGCUUUCCCUCGCCCCAUCCUCCAGCUUGGUGGGUAGUAAUAUCUUCUGUCCCUCUUUAGACUCGGGGGCCUAACUGGAAAACAGGUGCAUUGGUAGAUUUAGUAGCAGAGGAGUCCAAGAGUUCUAGUGCUCUACAUGGGCAUGAGACCAAAGCCCAUAAAUACAUGUUCGCGGGGUGCCUACUGUAUACCCAAUGCUGUAAGGUAGUGUCCCCAAAGCAUACUGCUGCAGAACACUAGUUUUGUGGGGUGUUCAACGAUAUUACCUGGAGAAAAGAGUCCAGAAUCUAACAAGUUUGGGAAACUCUGGAUUAAAUAAGGUUAACUAUGUUUCUUUUAGGUAGUCCUUCUCAGAGACUUAAGAUGAGAGCAUGCAUUGGGAACUUCCAAAAUGGGAGAUGCAGUGGGAGGCACUCCCAUAGUUAGGUAACCAGGCAGCCCCUUUUUACUUAUUUUAUUUUAUUUUUUUGAGAUGGAGUCUUACUAUGUUACCCAGGCUGGACUCAAACUUCUGAGCUCAAGCAGUUAUCCCACCUCAGCCUUAUCCCACCUCAGCCUCCUAAGUAGCUGGGACUACAGGCACGAGCCACCACACCUGGCUUUUUUAAAAACAAAGGACCAUAUUUUGGAAACACAUAGGCCCUGUAGCACACAGACCCAUGGGAUCUCCUGGCCACCUGGCCCAGCCCAUCUUCCGCAGAUAUGA
rnacentral:lncRNA from 1 species